GCUCCUACGGGCGGCUGCAGUAGGGAAUAUUGGGCAAUGGAGGCAACUCUGACCCAGCCAUGCCGCGUGCAGGAUGACGGCCCUCUGGGUUGUAAACUGCUUUUAUACGGGAAGAAAAAAUACUACGUGUAGUAUACUGACGGUACCGUAAGAAUAAGGAUCGGCUAACUCCGUGCCAGCAGCCGCGGUAAUACGGAGGAUCCAAGCGUUGUCCGGAUUUAUUGGGUUUAAAGGGUGCGUAGGCGGAUCUUUAAGUCAGUGGUGAAAGCCUGCAGCUUAACUGUAAAAUUGCCAUUGAAACUGAAGAUCUUGAAUGUGGUUAAAGUAGGCGGAAUGUAUCAUGUAGCGGUGAAAUGCUUAGAUAUGAUACAGAACACCGAUAGCGAAGGCAGCUUGCUGAACCAUUAUUGACGCUGAGGCACGAAAGCGUGGGGAGCGAACAGGAUUAGAUACCCCGGUAGUC
rnacentral:rRNA from 1 species